AGACGGGCUGUUUACCAGCUCAGAGCUCAAAACAAGAGCACGAGAGCAGUGUGGCUCGAUUUACCACAGGCUCUUCCUUUUAAACAUCGUUUUCGUUUCGAUUUGAUUAGUCAUGAAUAAUAAUUGUUCUUGUUGUUAAUAACAUCGAGGAAUGGAAAUGUGUCAACUGCUGUACUUUGUGUUUCUGUUCUGCUCUGGUUUGGUGGACUGUUUGUCUGUUGUUGAAGAGUGUAUAACAUCUAAUGGAGAGGACUAUAGGGGAAUGCAACAGAAGACAUCCACAGGGAAUAUCUGCCUCAACUGGAAGAGUCUAAACUCACAGACAGAUGUUGGAGAUCACAAUUUCUGUCGCAACCCAGAUGGUUCAGAGAAGCCCUGGUGCUAUGUCUCCGGGUCCGAUGGAGCGACCAGAAAAGAAUCAUGUGACAUAAGGACAUGCCAAGGUAGCCAUAUUCUCUCCUAAUUAAACCAAAUAUUUUUUUUAAA